rnacentral:pre_miRNA from 1 species
CUCACUAGCCUGGUCGCCGACAGUAUGUCAGUACUCUGUCAGCUCCAUGUCUGGUGAGGU